rnacentral:rRNA from 1 species
UACGAAGGGGCAAGCGUUGUUCGGAAUGACUGGGCGUAAAGGGCGCGUAGGCGGUUCGUUGCGUCAGAUGUGAAAGCCCCGGGCUCAACCUGGGAACUGCAUUUGAUACGGGCGAGCUUGAAUCCAAGAGAGGGUGGUGGAAUUCCCAGUGUAGAGGUGAAAUUCGUAGAUAUUGGGAAGAACACCAGUGGCGAAGGCGGCCACCUGGCUUGGUAUUGACGCUGAGGCGCGAAAGCGUGGGGAGCAAACAGG